AAAAACCUGCAUUUGUAUUGAGUGAUGUGGCACCAUUUUCAUUGCUAUAUUUCAUUUUGCAGGAAAGUUAUGGAGCAUAAUCACACAUCUCCCU